GCCAGACUCCUACGGGAGGCAGCAGUGGGGAAUAUUGCACAAUGGGGGAAACCCUGAUGCAGCGACGCCGCGUGAGUGAAGAAGUAUUUCGGUAUGUAAAGCUCUAUCAGCAGGGAAGAUAAUGACGGUACCUGACUAAGAAGCCCCGGCUAACUACGUGCCAGCAGCCGCGGUAAUACGUAGGGGGCAAGCGUUAUCCGGAUUUACUGGGUGUAAAGGGUGCGUAGGUGGCAGGGCAAGUCAGAUGUGAAAGCCCGGGGCUCAACCCCGGUACUGCAUUUGAAACUGUCCAGCUGGAGUGCAGGAGAGGUAAGCGGAAUUCCUAGUGUAGCGGUGAAAUGCGUAGAUAUUAGGAGGAACACCGGCGGCGAAGGCGGCCUGCUGGACCGUAACUGACGUUGAGGCUCGAAAGCGUGGGGAGCAAACAGGAUUAGAUACCCCAGUAUCG
rnacentral:rRNA from 1 species